GCUCGUAGGCGGUCUGUCGCGUCGGAAGUGAAAACCUGGGGCUUAACCCCGGGCCUGCUUUCGAUACGGGCAGACUAGAGUUCGGCAGGGGAGACUGGAAUUCCUGGUGUAGCGGUGAAAUGCGCAGAUAUCAGGAGGAACACCGGUGGCGAAGGCGGGUCUCUGGGCCGAUACUGACGCUGAGGAGCGAAAGCGUGGGGAGCGAACAGGAUUAGAUACCCUGGUAGUCCACGCCGUAAACGUUGGGCGCUAGGUGUGGGGAACCUUCCACGUUCUCCGUGCCGCAGCUAACGCAUUAAGCGCCCCGCCUGGGGAGUACGGCCGCAAGGCUAAAACUCAAAGGAAUUGACGGGGGCCCGCACAAGCGGCGGAGCAUGUGGCUUAAUUCGACGCAACGCGAAGAACCUUACCAAGGCUUGACAUACAGGGAAAUCCGGCAGAGAUGUCGGGUCCGCAAGGGUCCUGUACAGGUGGUGCAUGGUUGUCGUCAGCUCGUGUCGUGAGAUGUUGGGUUAAGUCCCGCAACGAGCGCAACCCUCGUCCUAUGUU
rnacentral:rRNA from 1 species